UGCUUUGUGCAGAGGCAAUGGCAUAACCAAUGAAGUUUAUCUGAGACGUGAUUAUUGCUAAUGGAAAUUCGAGUAGUCAACCAGAAUUUGCAUGUAUGCAUCAAAAUGUAUACUUUCUCAAUAUAUUGUUUUUAACAAUAAA